GAUGAAGAACGUAGCGAAAUGCGAUAAGUAAUGUGAAUUGCAGAAUUCAGUGAAUCAUCGAAUCUUUGAACGCACAUUGCGCCCGCCAGUAUUCUGGCGGGCAUGCCUGUCCGAGCGUCAUUUCAACCCUCGAACCCCCCCGGGGGGUCGGCGUUGGGGAUCGGCCCUUUACGGGGCCGGCCCCGAAAUACAGUGGCGGUCUCGCCGCAGCCUCUCCUGCGCAGUAGUUUGCACACUCGCAUCGGGAGCGCGGCGCGUCCACAGCCGUUAAACACCCCAAACUUCUGAAAUGUUGACCUCGGAUCAGGUAGGAAUACCCGCUGAACUUAAGCAUAUCAAUAAGCGGAGGA
rnacentral:misc_RNA from 1 species